GAUGAACGCUGGCGGCGUGCCUAAUACAUGCAAGUCGAGCGGACGGACGAUGAGCUUGCUUUUCUGAUGUUAGGGGCGGGCGUGUGUGUAACACGUGUAUCACCUACCUAUAAUACGGGUAUCACUUCGGGAAACCGGAUCUUAUACCGUAGGAUAUUUUGAACCGCGUUGUUCAUUAGUGAGAUACGGUCUUUCUGUCACUUAUAGAUGCAUCCGCGCUGCAUUGUCUGGUUGUGAAGGUAACGGCUUACCAAGGCUACGAUGCAUAGCCGACGGGACAGGGGGAUAGCCCGCAUUGGAAGUGAGACACGGUCCAGGCUCCUAAGGGAGGCAGCAGUAGGGAAUCUGCGGCAACGGGCGGAAGCCUGACGGAGCGACGCCACGUGAGUGAUGACAGUGUUCGGAUCGUAAUAAUCUGUUACUAGGGAAGAACCGCUGUGUACGUAAACGUGGACAGCUUGACGGUACCUAGUAAAAAAGCAACGGCUAACUACGUG
rnacentral:rRNA from 1 species